rnacentral:rRNA from 1 species
CCUACGGGAGGCAGCAGUGAGGAAUAUUGGUCAAUGGACGAGAGUCUGAACCAGCCAAGUAGCGUGAAGGAUGACUGCCCUAUGGGUUGUAAACUUCUUUUAUAUGGGAAUAAAACGUUCCACGUGUGGGAUUUUGUAUGUACCAUAUGAAUAAGGAUCGGCUAACUCCGUGCCAGCAGCCGCGGUAAUACGGAGGAUCCGAGCGUUAUCCGGAUUUAUUGGGUUUAAAGGGAGCGUAGGUGGAUUGUUAAGUCAGUUGUGAAAGUUUGCGGCUCAACCGUAAAAUUGCAGUUGAAACUGGCAGUCUUGAGUACAGGAGAGGUGGGCGGAAUUCGGGGUGUAGCGGUGAAAUGCUGAGAGAUCACGAAGAACUCCGAUUGCGAAGGCAGUUCACUGGACUGCAACUGACACUGAGGCUCGAAAGUGUGGGUAUCAAACAGGAUUAGAUACCCGUGUAGUC